UGAGAUGAAAUCAUAAAUGGUGUUUCACUUACAAUGAAAAUUAGUUUUGUUAAACCAUUUCAA
rnacentral:tRNA from 1 species